rnacentral:rRNA from 1 species
UUUUUUGGUUUUUUUCCUGAGUAGUAUUAGUUGUGUUCUUGAAACUUAAAGAAUUUGGCGGUAUCCUACUCCGUUCAGAGGAAUCUGUCUCGUUAUCGAUAGUCCGCGUUGGACCUUACUUAGGGUUAGUUUUGGUUUGUAUACCGCCGUUUAUUGAUUAUCUUUUUAGAGUAUCAUGAAUUUUCUGGUUUCUUUAAUUUGAUUUAUUGCAGGUCAAGGUGCAGCUUUUUCUAAGUGUAAUGAUGGAUUACAGUGUUAUGUGUUGUUUGGAUUGUUUAUUUUAAUAUUGGCAUGAAAUUGGAUUUGGUUGUAAUGUUUUGUAGAUUGUUUUCAUGAUAGUUGGUUCUAGGAUAUGUACACAUCGCCCGUCGCUCUCAUUUAAGUUUUUGAUGAGAUAAGUCGUAACAUAGUAAAA